GCUUGCACAUCGCUGACGAGUGGCGGACGGGUGAGUAAUGCUUGGGAACUUGCCUUUGCGAGGGGGAUAACAGUUGGAAACGACUGCUAAUACCGCAUAACGUCUGUGGACCAAACGGGGCUUCGGCUCCGGCGCAAAGAGAGGCCCAAGUGAGAUUAGCUAGUUGGUGAGGUAAAGGCUCACCAAGGCGACGAUCUCUAGCUGUUCUGAGAGGAAGAUCAGCCACACUAGAACUGAGACACGGUCCAGACUCCUACGGGAGGCAGCAGUGGGGAAUAUUGCACAAUGGGGGAAACCCUGAUGCAGCCAUGCCGCGUGUGUGAAGAAGGCCUUCGGGUUGUAAAGCACUUUCAGUUGUGAGGAAAAGUGAGUAGUUAAUACCUGCUCACCGUGACGUUAGCAACAGAAGAAGCACCGGCUAACUCCGUGCCAGCAGCCGCGGUAAUACGGAGGGUGCGAGCGUUAAUCGGAAUUACUGGGCGUAAAGCGCACGCAGGCGGUUUGUUAAGCUAGAUGUGAAAGCCCCGGGCUCAACCAGGGACGGUCAUUUAGAACUGGCAGACUAGAGUCUUGGAGAGGGGAGUGGAAUUCCAGGUGUAGUGGUGAAAUGCGUAGAUAUCUGGAGGAACAUCAGUGGCGAAGGCGACUCUCUGGCCAAAGACUGACGCUCAUGUGCGAAAGUGUGGGUAGCGAACAGGAU
rnacentral:rRNA from 1 species